CUACGUAGGGGGCAAGCGUUAUCCGGAAUUAUUGGGCGUAAAGCGUGCGUAGGUGGUUACCUAAGCGCAAGGUUUAAUCUUGAGGCUCAACCUCAUUCUGCCUUGCGAACUGGGCUACUUGAGUGCUGGAUGGGAAAGCGGAAUUCCUAGUGUAGCGGUGAAAUGCGUAGAUAUUAGGAAGAACACCGGUGGCGAAGGCGGCUUUCUGGACAGUAACUGACACUGAGGCACGAAAGCGUGGGGAGCAAACAGGAUUAGAUACCCUGGUAGUCCACGCCGUAAACGAUGAGCACUAGUUGUUGGGUCCGAAUGGAUUCAGUGACGCAGUUAACGCAAUAAGUGCUCCGCCUGGGGAGUACGGUGGCAACACUAAAACUUAAAGGAAUUGACGGGG
rnacentral:rRNA from 1 species